GUACGGCGGAACACGAGAAAUUCCGUCGGAAUCCGCGGGGACCAUCCCGCAAGGCUAAAUACUCCCUAGUGACCGAUAGUGAACCAGUACCGUGAGGGAAAGGUGAAAAGCACCCCGGAAGGGGAGUGAAAUAGAUCCUGAAACCGUGUGCCUACAACAAGUCAAAGCUCGUUAAUGAGUGAUGGCGUGCCUUUUGUAGAAUGAACCGGCGAGUUACGAUUGCAUGCGAGGUUAAGUCGAAGAGACGGAGCCGCAGCGAAAGCGAGUCUGAAUAGGGCGAAUGAGUAUGUAGUCGUAGACCCGAAACCAUGUGAUCUACCCAUGUCCAGGUUGAAGGUGCGGUAAAACGCACUGGAGGACCGAACCCACGUACGUUGAAAAGUGCGGGGAUGAGGUGUGGGUAGCGGAGAAAUUCCAAACGAACUUGGAGAUAGCUGGUUCUCUCCGAAAUAGCUUUAGGGCUAGCCUCGGAAUUGAGAAUGAUGGAGGUAGAGCACUGUUUGGACUAGGGGCCCAUCUCGGGUUACCGAAUUCAGAUAAACUCCGAAUGCCAUUCAUUUAUAUCCGGGAGUCAGACUGCGAGUGAUAAGAUCCGUAGUCGAAAGGGAAACAGCCCAGACCACCAGCUAAGGUCCCAAAAUAUAUGUUAAGUGGAAAAGGAUGUGGGGUUGCACAGACAACUAGGAUGUUGGCUUAGAAGCAGCCACCAUUUAAAGAGUGCGUAAUAGCUCACUAGUCGAGUGACCCUGCGCCGAAAAUGUACCGGGGCUAAACAUAUUACCGAAGCUGUGGACUACACCAUUAGGUGUAGUGGUAGGAGAGCGUUCUAAGGGCGUUGAAGGUCGAUCGUGAGGACGGCUGGAGCGCUUAGAAGUGAGAAUGCCGGUAUGAGUAGCGAAAGACAGGUGAGAAUCCUGUCCACCGUAUGACUAAGGUUUCCUGGGGAAGGCUCGUCCGCCCAGGGUUAGUCGGGACCUAAGCCGAGGCCGAUAGGCGUAGGCGAUGGACAACAGGUUGAUAUUCCUG
rnacentral:rRNA from 1 species